UAUGUAGUAUCUGUCGUCAACCAGGACACAACAAGAACAACUGUCCCAAUCGAGGAGCAUCAUCUAGGUCUUAAGCUUUUUGUAGCAUUGUAUUUCUGUAACCUUCAAUCAUUAUAUAUCAUUAAGUUUUUGUUACAACGAGGUUCACAACAAACAUCAGUACAAAAUAAACUAUCUGAAAACAGAAAUAUUUCUAACUGAUUACAACAAUCAAAUU
rnacentral:lncRNA from 1 species